rnacentral:rRNA from 1 species
GAUGAACGCUGGCGGCGUGCCUAAUACAUGCAAGUCGAGCGAACAGACGAGGAGCUUGCUCCUCUGACGUUAGCGGCGGACGGGUGAGUAACACGUGGAUAACCUACCUAUAAGACUGGGAUAACUUCGGGAAACCGGAGCUAAUACCGGAUAAUAUAUUGAACCGCAUGGUUCAAUAGUGAAAGACGGUUUUGCUGUCACUUAUAGAUGGAUCCGCGCCGCAUUAGCUAGUUGGUAAGGUAACGGCUUACCAAGGCAACGAUGCGUAGCCGACCUGAGAGGGUGAUCGGCCACACUGGAAGGGAGACACGGUCAAGAGGACUGAGGGAGGGAGCAGUAGGGAAUCUGACGCAAUGGGCGAAAGCAUGACGGAGCAACGCCGAGUGAGUGAUGAAGGUCUUCGGAUCGUAAAACUCUGUUAUGAGGGAAGAACAAAUGUGUAAGGAAAUAUGCACGUAUUGACGGUAACUAAUCAGAAAGCAACGGCUAACUACGUG